rnacentral:rRNA from 1 species
UACGGAAGGCAGCAGUGGGGAAUAUUGCACAAUGGGCGCAAGCCUGAUGCAGCCAUGCCGCGUGUAUGAAGAAGGCCUUCGGGUUGUAAAGUACUUUCAGCGGGGAGGAAGGCGAUGCGGUUAAUAACCGCGUCGAUUGACGUUACCCGCAGAAGAAGCACCGGCUAACUCCGUGCCAGCAGCCGCGGUAAUACGGAGGGUGCAAGCGUUAAUCGGAAUUACUGGGCGUAAAGCGCACGCAGGCGGUCUGUUAAGUUAGAUGUGAAAUCCCCCGGGCUUAACCUGGGAACUGCAUUUUGAAACUGGCAGGCUUGAGUCUUGUAGAGGGGGUGAAUUCCAGGUGUAGCGGUGAAAUGCGUAGAGAUCUGGAGGAAUACCGGUGGCGAAGGCGGCCCCUGGGACAAAGACUGACGCUCAGGUGCGAAAGCGUGGGGAGCAAACAGGAUUAGAUACC